CGGAACUCCGCUCUGGGUCCGUCCCCCCCGCCGCCGCCGCCGGGGCGGGAAGCGGAGCCGCCCCGGCGCUGUCUGAGGGCCGGCCCCCGCCGCCACAGGGAGGGGACGGGAAGGAGGGGGAGGGGACACCGCCCGCCCCGCCGCUCCCCCCGCCCGCCCCGGCGCCCCCAGAGGCGGGCGGUCGCCGAUUGCUCGCCCGCCGCCCCUUGCCCUGCCGAGACGGCGCUCCCCUCCCCGCGGCGCAGGCCUAGGCCGCCGGCGGGCGGGCGGCUACCUGCGCUGGAAGUCCGUCUCGAAGGGGGCCAGUGUGCCUCUAUGUCCUGAGGUUGGUAGUUCAAGUCUUCCUGAUGCAGAUGAGAGAGGAGGCUUACUUAUGACAAGUCAUCAGCCCCUGAGGUCUUCACAAGAAGAACAAUAAUGUUUGUUUUGGAGGUUCUAAUUCCUCAGUCUUGGCUGCAGAGUUAAAAUACCGAAUUGCUCUUACAGUUCAUGAAUUAUCUGUUGUGUCUUGACCUACACACUCCUUCAGCUGUCUCCUCAGUAACUCCUGUGUUGUCAUCUGUUUCAACACAUGCACAAGAAAAACUCACAAAGGUUUCCAUUCUGGGAGCUGAGUCAUUUUCUAAAUCAGGACCAUCAUCCUUUGAACACAAAAUCUUCCUCUGCAGAACUUAAGGGCAAGUAUUACGUAUGUGAUUUUACAUAGGAUGUUUUAGCCUCUCUUACUUUAAAUUAUGUGUCUGUCUGACUGAAAAGCACAUAAUUUAACAGCAUCCACUAAAAUUUUCUAUUGUAUUCAUAUCCUAUAUGUUAUUUAAUGCCAAAAACUUAGUUAUCUUUCUCAGUUCUGUGUUCUGUUUCCUUUUAUUUUUUAAUCACGAUUUCAAAACAUACAUCUUCACUGGUUUGGUUUUUGUACAUACAUCUAAUUUCUGUGUACUGUGACUACAUUCCUGUCAUCCAGGAAACCUCCAGUGCUUAAGGAACAUAACCUCCUGUACAAUCAAAUUGUUAUUCAAAUCGUACCAUUAAAAGACACUCACGGUGAAUAUCAAUCUGGCUGAAGUCAUAUGAUAUACCUAACAUUUAAAAGGUCUGACUGAUGAGGACAUAUAUUAGACAUCCUGAAAGUGAGGAUAAGGCAAGACCAGCUGUUUUUUCUUAUCCUUUCCUAACACUAUAAAAUACCAUACACAUUCUUUGUAUUUCUAAAUGAACAGACUUGCUUUUAAUCGUGUCUCUGUGCUUGCCAAAAAUGUAUACUCCAGUAGGUUGAAACCACUCUAGCACUAUUACAAGUUAUUAACACUAUGAUUUUUCCUGUUUGUCUCCAAAUUGCUGGGUUACUUGCAUCUCCGAAUAAAUUUACGUGAAGACUUCUGAAGAACUCUGUGUUUUGAGUUGUAUUACAUUGUUUGAAAUAAAACAUUUCAGCUGAUUUCUCCAGUAUAAUUCUUUUCAUAUUUUAGGAAUUUUCAUGCUAGCUCUGUUUUUAUAAAUACUGCCAUGAUUAAAUUUGUAAUCUCCCUUUUUUACGUUUUCUUCCUUGCUUUAUUUGCUUGCUUAUCUUCUCCCUAUCACUUUUCCAGCUCUUUUUUGGUUUAAUGUGCUUUUUUUCCCCU